rnacentral:rRNA from 1 species
CCUACGGGUGGCAGCAGUGAGGAAUAUUGGUCAAUGGCCGGAAGGCUGAACCAGCCAAGCCGCGUGAAGGACGAAGGUGCCAAGCAUUGUAAACUUCUUUUGUCAAGGGACACAAUCAGGCUCGAGAGCCUGACCCAGGGUACUUGAAGAAAAAGCAUCGGCUAACUCCGUGCCAGCAGCCGCGGUAAUACUGAGGAUGCGAGCGUUAUCCGGAUUUAUUGGGUGUAAAGGGUGCGUAGGCGGACUGUUAAGGCAGCGGUAAAAGCUCGGGGCUCAACCCCGGCGAGCCGUUGAAACUGGCUGUCUUGAGAGGUCGAGGGGUAUGCGGAAUGCGCAGUGUAGCGGUGAAAUGCUUAGAUA